rnacentral:lncRNA from 1 species
GAGUUUCCUGAAGGAACUGAUUCCAAAUUCGCAUUCGAAACCCUUCGAUUUCGGCUCCGAAAACAAGUGCGGCAGCAGAUUUUGCUUCCCCAAAAUCGCAUCGAGCAGGCUGACUUCUCGCCAAACUCCGGCGACCAACGUCGGUGCAAGCCAUCGAGCUUCACCACCAACAGAAAGGUAACAUCAUAAGGUUUCUAAUGAUGGGACCUGAUCGUCGAGAUUCCACUUUUAAGGACUCCGUUCAAUUAAUUCUUUGAAGGACCAACAGCUGAAAUUCGGGUUCUGCACGGCUCGUUUUCUUUUGCCCGAUUCCAGCCACCACCGCGCGUCAUCGUCGGUGAAAUCCAUCACCACAAGGAAGCUGCGUCUUGAGAUUUCCAACGGCACCUCCCAAUCAACGGAAUUAAAUCUCUAAGGG